rnacentral:rRNA from 1 species
UGGGGAAUAUUGCACAAUGGGGGAAACCCUGAUGCAGCGACGCCGCGUGAACGAAGAAGGUAUUCGUAUCGUAAAGUUCUGUCCUAUGGGAAGAUAAUGACAGUACCAUAGAAGAAAGCUCCGGCUAAAUACGUGCCAGCAGCCGCGGUAAUACGUAUGGAGCGAGCGUUGUCCGGAAUUAUUGGGCGUAAAGGGUACGCAGGCGGUUUAAUAAGUCGAAUGUUAAAGAUCGGGGCUCAACCCCGCAAAGCAUUGGAAACUGAUAAACUUGAGUAGUGGAGAGGAAAGUGGAAUUCCUAGUGUAGUGGUGAAAUACGUAGAUAUUAGGAGGAAUACCAGUAGCGAAGUCGACUUUCUGGACACAAACUGACGCUGAGGUACGAAAGCGUGGGGAGCAAACAGG